UAGAAUGAGAAGUGGAGAAUAACACCUGAGUUUCAAGACUCGGAGGAUGUCAGGGCCACCACAGGUACAGGAAAAGUUAGGAAGUGGGGAAGAUUUAGGGGGGGAAAUACUGUGUUCAAUUUGGGACCUGCUGAAUUUAAAAUGUCUACAAGGCAUCCACUUUUCAUUAUCUUUUAAAAUCUGCCCAAAGUCUCUGCUCAACUCUUUAAUUAUGCUGAUACUAGUCCUCGUUCUGCUGCUCAGUAGCUUUAUGGAUCUAGGAAAGCUUGUGUGUGAUAUUUGUGUGUGUGUAUUUUCCUAGGACUAAUGACAUCAAGGGGGUAAUUUCUCGACUUGUGCCUGAAUUGGAUUUAAAAGAGGCAGAGUUGCCCAAAGUCAUCAGCCUCAUGCUCUCUUCUAGAGUCACUGAAAUUCACUGAGCAGAUAAACUACUCCCCUAACUAACCAAUGGAUUUGGACACAUUAGUUAUCCUCAACCUGAUUUGGCCAAACUGCCAAGAUGGUUUACCAAGACAACUCCCAAACUAUUUAUCUAGUUCUAAUAUCUCCCCGGAACUCCAGUCUGGCAUUUCUAACUACCAGCUGAAAAUUUCCAUCAGGAUGCCCAGUGGGAACUUCAAACUCAGCAUAUACAUGGCUCUACCUAAUAGUUCUACCAACUUGUGGGGAAGUUACCUGACAAAGUAAGGAGCAGCUGGCUGAGAUCAGACACUCUUGAUGAAGGUAUAGUAGCCCAAGCUGCAGAUAGCAAAAGCUGGGACAGAGCCUGGAAAACUGUGAAGGUCUUGGCAGAGAUCUGAGGCAGUGAAAGAUCAGCAGGAUGGGAUUGUAUGAAGUGGAAACCGAACUGGACCAAAACUAAACUUGACUGAAGGCUACCUAAAACUGAACAGGAGGCAGUUCUAGCCCCUAGAUCUAGAUCUCCCAUCAGAACUAAGUUCCAAAUGAAUAAUCCGUUGCCUUCCUUCUUCCUCUCCACUCACCAAAUGGGAAGAGGUUCCAUGAAAGCCGGCCUUUUAGGAAGCUCUGAGAGCAAGGGCAAGGAGUGGGCUGUCAUUGUUCUUACAUCACCACCAUUUACCCGGGCCACAACAGAUUAAAAUGUAACUGGGGAGUAUUAACAGAAACAAAUAAAAAUGCGAUAAAUCCUAGAGAA